rnacentral:rRNA from 1 species
CCUACGGGAGGCAGCAGUGGGGAAUAUUGGACAAUGGGCGCAAGCCUGAUCCAGCCAUGCCGCGUGUGUGAAGAAGGCCUUCGGGUUGUAAAGCACUUUUAUCCGGAAAGAAAAGCUUUGGGUUAAUACCCUGAAGUCAUGACGGUACCGGAAGAAUAAGCACCGGCUAACUUCGUGCCAGCAGCCGCGGUAAUACGAAGGGUGCAAGCGUUACUCGGAAUUACUGGGCGUAAAGCGUGCGUAGGUGGUUUGUUAAGUCUGAUGUGAAAGCCCUAGGCUCAACCUGGGAAUUGCAUUGGAUACUGGCAGGCUAGAGUGCGGUAGAGGAUAGUGGAAUUCCCGGUGUAGCAGUGAAAUGCGUAGAGAUCGGGAGGAACAUCUGUGGCGAAGGCGACUAUCUGGGCCAGCACUGACACUGAGGCACGAAAGCGUGGGGAGCAAACAGGAUUAGAUACCCUGGUAGUCCACGCCCUAAACGAUGCGAACUGGAUGUUGGGUGCAACUAGGCACUCAGUAUCGAAGCUAACGCGUUAAGUUCGCCGCCUGGGGGAGGUACGGUCGCGAGACGAGAAACGUUAAAGUAAAGUUAGUACGGACGUGAGACGUACGACCGACGGACGACGACGAGGGGAGGAGGG